rnacentral:rRNA from 1 species
AUUGAACGCUGGCGGCAGGCCUAACACAUGCAAGUCGGGCGGAUGAAGGGAGCUUGCUCCUGGAUUCAGCGGCGGACGGGUGAGUAAUGCCUAGGAAUCUGCCUGGUAGUGGGGGAUAACGUCCGGAAACGGGCGCUAAUACCGCAUACGUCCUGAGGGAGAAAGUGGGGGAUCUUCGGACCUCACGCUAUCAGAUGAGCCUAGGUCGGAUUAGCUAGUUGGUGGGGUAAAGGCCUACCAAGGCGACGAUCCGUAACUGGUCUGAGAGGAUGAUCAGUCACACUGGAACUGAGACACGGUCCAGACUCCUACGGGAGGCAGCAGUGGGGAAUAUUGGACAAUGGGCGAGAGCCUGAUCCAGCCAUGCCGCGUGUGGGAAGAAGGUCUUCGGAUUGUAAAGCACGUUAAGUUGGGAGGAAGGGCAGUAAGUUAAUACCUUGCUGUUUUGACGUGACCAACAGAAUAAGCACCGGCUAACUUCGUGC